rnacentral:rRNA from 1 species
UACGGAGGGUGCAAACGUUGCUCGGAAUCAUUGGGCGUAAAGCGCACGUAGGCGGCCUGUUAAGUCGGGUGUGAAAGCCCUGGGCUCAGCCCAGGAAGUGCGCGCGAAACUGGCGAGCUUGAAUGCCGGAGAGGGUCGCGGAAUUCCCGGUGUAGAGGUGAAAUUCGUAGAUAUCGGGAGGAACACCAGUGGCGAAGGCGGCGACCUGGACGGACAUUGACGCUGAGACGCGAAAGCGUGGGGAGCAAACAGG